UUGAAGAGGUUUGCUAACACUCAGAGGCUGAACUGGGGGCAAUGGGGUACUUGUAUUGGAAUUGCAGCUUUGUCCUGGCCACUUGGCUGGCUAGUUAAGUGGAUUCCAGCAUGAAAAAAAUCCUCUUCUCGGUCACAAGGCUUUUGCAUCCAAAAGAAAUACCAGUUAGCUCCAAUGAGAUGCUCCUUUUCAUUUAUAUAGAACCUUAGGAAUAUCAGUAUAUAACCUUGGUACUAUUUCUUUUAUUAUUCUAAUGCAGUAUUUUAAUUUCCUUCUGUUCACUAUUUAUCUCGGUUCUAGUUCAUUUUAAGUGUUGAAUUUGUAAGCUUCUAUGUGAACAAUGAAGAUAUGUUGUUUAUGCAUGCAUUAAUUUCACUAUAACAUGUUUAGCACCACUUAAAUCCUCUGCAUGUGCAAAUAAAUUACAUAUGUCGUCAGCUUCUAAUGGAUAACACUGUUGGCAAUGCAGGCUAGGCCUCAGAUUCUACCACUUAAUACUAGACGAUACAACAUUAAGCUCUUUGCUCUUUCUAGGGGAUGUACACAAUAAUGAGAUGACUUCCCUCGUGAUCUAAUAAUCUCUUUUAAGAACAAUCUAAGUCUACCAUAACUUUAUAAUGACCAGUUCACAAGCAUAGACAGUCUGCCAUAUUGUAAUUUCAUAUAAUCAGUACAUAACACAAUCAGUCAAUAGGAAUAUUUAAUUAGAUGUUUCAUCGUUCUACUUAAAAUUUUCUACCUUAAAGAGAAGAAAGCCCUUUUAAAUGAUUUUGCACUCAAAUCAUCAGUAGAAGGUGACUAAUAAAAUUCAACAAGUAGUCAAUUAGAAAGCAAAUUAUCCACAACAACUCAUGGUGUUAGGCAUUUCUAGCAUUGAAAGACAAGAAAGAACUAUAAGAAGCUUAAAAUCAUAGCUUAAAAUCAUCAUCCUCAUACAAACUCUAGCUAUCUCAACAGCAACAUAUGGAACCUCACUCCUAAUGCAUUGAUUGGUUACUAGUGUAAAAACACGAGGAAAAAAACUUAAUUAUUACAUAUGUAUUACAAUAGUUAGCCAUAAAAUAAGGAAUAGGUGGUACAAAUUUAAACAUAAAAUUAGAAAAAUGAGUAAUAACUCUUGAAAAAAUAAGACCUCUUCAAAAUAAACGAACAAUUUUCCUUCUCUUUGCUAAAAGUAAGUCAUGGGACUGACUAAAUAUUACCAAUUGAAUUAGUUUAUUGCCAACACAUAAAUUAAAACAUGUGUAAAAAAUAAUACUCCUAUCAUACAUAGCAUAAGUUUCAUAAAGUGCAUGACCUAUUUAUAAUCAGUGUGAAUGCAUAAUUUCCACUGUUCAUUGGUGCAAGAAUGUCAACAAUGAGAGGCAACUCAUUGAUCAGUCCAUAACAUUUUAAGGCUUCCAUCUCUCACUUGUACUACAUCUUUCCCACACAUCCCAACAUAGCAUAACUUUCAAAGAAUUUGUUGACGUAAAAGAUGCAAUGUAAAUUUGCUACAAUCUAAACAAUAGAGCCAGAAGUUUUAUCAGCCACCUUAUACUCAUGCUCUCUUAAGUGGAAACACAAUCAUUGGUGUCCUAAGUUGUUGGUAUAAUAUAUAUAUAUAUUUGGGGUCCAUUAUUCACACAAAAAAACAAAAACAAAAAAACAAGUUUGGCAAAUUAUCAUCACAUAUUUGCUUCCUCCAAUGUUGCAAAAUUGUGAUAUGACAAUUUCAACUCCAGCCACUAUAUUGGAGCUUGCACAAGUAUACUGUCAUAGUAUGACUCAAGUAUUUUAACACCCCUCAUCAAAAAAGUGCUGCCUACUUCCUACUCCUCAACUAAACUAUUUUCAAUUAAAAAUAACUAGAAACUGCAAGUAACAUACAUAACAGGUCAUCUAAAACGAUCUAGCUUAAUGUCACUAUUUAAGUCUAUGUUUCUUCAACUCUUCAUUUUGCUUGAAGUACUUGUUCCAACACAUAGUCAUACACAGGUACGGGCAUAUGACUACCCACAGACCCUCCAAAAACAUGGAGAAACUUAAAAAAAGAAUUCGGACAAAAUACCCGUAUCUGGUACUCGCACCAAAUUCCAGUAAAAUAGAUCAAUGUAAUCAGUUAUUGCGCUGGAUGAAUCUGAUAUCAUACAACAUAAUAAAGUAGCCCAAGGAAACAACUGAUUAUUCUUGCCAGGUGCCACCAAUAUUUUCCUACCAGAGGUAAUCAUUUUGAUUACUUCCAUGGAAAACUUUCUCAAACAAAACUUCUUAAUGAUACAAUCCAAAGAGAUAAUGGGUUAUCUAAUCCCAUUUUUUAUUAUUUCUGGCUUUUUUAGUACAAAUUAAACCACCAAGAAAAAAAAAAAACUUUGCAACACUUCCAAUUGUAAUAAUCUAUAUAGCAAAACAGCAUCAAGGCACACAGAGCAAGUGGGAUAAUAAAUUAUUUGGAAUUCAUUAUUUUAUAGAAUUAACUAUAUAAACAAUCUUGACUAUAUUAUAAAGUAUGCAAAGACAGAAACUUGAUCCAGCGUAGCAGAUCAAAAUCCAAUGAUUAAAGUGAAAAAAAAAAAUCAUAUUUUACCACUGAGAUUACUAUUUUAAUGAUAAAUAGAAAGUCACCCCCAUUAAACAAGGAAGCAUCUUAAUGAAGAAAACUUGAAAUGGGUCAUUAAAAGACAUCAAAUUUCAAUUAAAAAAAAAACCUAGGAUGCAACAGCCGAAAUAUGUAGGAAUAGUGGUUGAAGGACAAUUCAAUAAAAUAUGGGUCCCAAAUCCAAAUAAAUAGGAGACAGAGAGAGUUUUGAAAGUGGGGACUGACCUUGACGAGACACUGCAGACAUUGUAUUGCAAAAAUUCAUCUCCGUGAAUUGAAUUGAAGAUUACCCUUUUGACGAAGGCCCCAAAGGAGUUAUUUACACAACUAACAUGUGUUAUGAUUUUUUUAAAAAUUAAAACAAACACACACAAUUUUAGUUUGUGGAAACUGGAAAUUUUAAGUUUGAAUGUAUUGUUU
rnacentral:lncRNA from 1 species